GCCAGCAUAGUGUAGUGGUUUGAGCAUUGGGCUAUUAUCCUGGAGACCUGGGUUUGAAUCCCAGCUCAGCCA